CGACAACCGACCAGGGACCAACUGCAGACGGAGAACUGGAGAGAAAGCGAAGGAAGAGCCCUCAGGGUGAAAGCGUUAUAAAGAGUUAACGAUAAAAAAUAGCUUUAUAACCCACCAAGGAUGGAGAGAUAGCAUCCAAGGAGCUAAAGAGAAAUCUCACUUUAGACACCUGGGGAACUCGAAUGAAAAGA
rnacentral:ncRNA from 1 species